AUGAACGCUAGCUACAGGCUUAACACAUGCAAGUCGAGGGGCAUCAGGAAGAAAGCUUGCUUUCUUUGCUGGCGACCGGCGCACGGGUGAGUAACACGUAUCCAACCUGCCCUUUACUCGGGGAUAGCCUUUCGAAAGAAAGAUUAAUACCCGAUNGUAUAAUNAUUCCGCAUGGUUUGAUUAUUAAAGGAUUCCGGUAAAGGAUGGGGAUGCGUUCCAUUAGGUUGUUGGUGAGGUAACGGCNCACCAAGCCUUCGAUGGAUAGGGGUUCUGAGAGGAAGGUCCCCCACAUUGGAACUGAGACACGGUCCAAACUCCUACGGGAGGCAGCAGUGAGGAAUAUUGGUCAAUGGGCGCGAGCCUGAACCAGCCAAGUAGCGUGAAGGAUGACUGCCCUAUGGGUUGUAAACUUCUUUUAUAUUAGAAUAAAGUGCAGUAUGUAUACUGUUUUGUAUGUAUAAUAUGAAUAAGGAUCGGCUAACUCCGUGCCAGCAGCCGCGGUAAUACGGAGGAUCCGAGCGUUAUCCGGAUUUAUUGGGUUUAAAGGGAGCGUAGGUGGACUGGUAAGUCAGUUGUGAAAGUUUGCGGCUCAACCGUAAAAUUGCAGUUGAUACUGUCAGUCUUGAGUACAGUAGAGGUGGGCGGAAUUCGUGGUGUAGCGGUGAAAUGCUUAGAUAUCACGAAGAACUCCGAUUGCGAAGGCAGCUCACUGGACUGCAACUGACACUGAUGCUCGAAAGUGUGGGUAUCAAACAGGAUUAGAUACCCUGGUAGUCCACACAGUAAACGAUGAAUACUCGCUGUUUGCGAUAUACAGUAAGCGGCCAAGCGAAAGCAUUAAGUAUUCCACCUGGGGAGUACGCCGGCAACGGUGAAACUCAAAGGAAUUGACGGGGGCCCGCACAAGCGGAGGAACAUGUGGUUUAAUUCGAUGAUACGCGAGGAACCUUACCCGGGCUUAAAUUGCAGUGGAAUGAUGUGGAAACAUGUCAGUGAGCAAUCACCGCUGUGAAGGUGCUGCAUGGUUGUCGUCAGCUCGUGCCGUGAGGUGUCGGCUUAAGUGCCAUAACGAGCGCAACCCUUAUCUUCAGUUACUAACAGGUCAUGCUGAGGACUCUGGAGAGACUGCCGUCGUAAGAUGUGAGGAAGGUGGGGAUGACGUCAAAUCAGCACGGCCCUUACGUCCGGGGCUACACACGUGUUACAAUGGGGGGUACAGAAGGCAGCUACCUGGUGACAGGAUGCUAAUCCCAAAAGCCUCUCUCAGUUCGGAUCGAAGUCUGCAACCCGACUUCGUGAAGCUGGAUUCGCUAGUAAUCGCGCAUCAGCCACGGCGCGGUGAAUACGUUCCCGGGCCUUGUACACACCGCCCGUCAAGCCAUGGGAGCCGGGGGUACCUGAAGUACGUAACCGCAAGGAUCGUCCUA
rnacentral:rRNA from 1 species